GUGGGGAAUAUUGGGCAAUGGGCGCAAGCCUGACCCAGCAACGCCGCGUGAAGGAAGAAGGCUUUCGGGUUGUAAACUUCUUUUAAGAGGGAAGAGCAGAAGACGGUACCUCUUGAAUAAGCCACGGCUAACUACGUGCCAGCAGCCGCGGUAAUACGUAGGUGGCAAGCGUUGUCCGGAUUUACUGGGUGUAAAGGGCGUGCAGCCGGGAAGACAAGUCAGAUGUGAAAUCCCGCGGCUCAACCGCGGAACUGCAUUUGAAACUGUUUUUCUUGAGUACCGGAGAGGUCAUCGGAAUUCCUUGUGUAGCGGUGAAAUGCGUAGAUAUAAGGAAGAACACCAGUGGCGAAGGCGGAUGACUGGACGGCAACUGACGGUGAGGCGCGAAAGCGUGGGGAGCAAACAGGAUUAGAUACCCUUGUAGUCC
rnacentral:rRNA from 1 species